rnacentral:snRNA from 1 species
GUGCCCUGUUUGGCAGCCCAUAAAUGAACAAUGGAAAAAUACAGAGGAAUUUAGCCUGGUCCUUGUACAAACGUGAUGUGUAAACUUGUGAAGACUUCCAUAUUUUU